rnacentral:rRNA from 1 species
AAUGAACGUUGGCGGCGUGGAUUAGGCAUGCAAGUCGAGCGAGAACCGUAGCAAUACGGGGACAGCGGCGAAAGGGACAGUAAUGUGUAGGUACCUACCCCUGGGUUCGGGAUAGCUGCGGGAAACUGCAGGUAAUACCGUAUAAUGUCUCCGGACCAAAGGUGUGAUUCCACCUGGGGAGGGGCCUGCAUCCUAUUAGCUUGUUGGCGGGGUAACGGCCCACCAAGGCAACGAUGGGUAGCGGGUGUGAGAGCACGACCCGCGUCAUUGGGACUGAGAUACUGCCCAGACACCUACGGGUGGCUGCAGUCGAGGAUCUUCGGCAAUGGGCGAAAGCCUGACCGAGCGACGCCGCGUGCGGGAUGAAGGCCUUCGGGUUGUAAACCGCUGUCGUAGAGGAGGAAAUGCAGGGGGGUUCUCCCCUUUGCUUGACCUAUUCUAGGAGGAAGUACGGGCUAAGUUCGUGCCAGCCGCCGCAGUAA